GACGAACGCUGGCGGCGUGCCUAAUACAUGCAAGUCGAACGGAGUGGCGCACGGGUGAGUAAUAUAUAGCUAAUCUGCCCCUUGCUGGAGGGCAACAGUUAGAAAUUAAUGCUAAUAAUCCAUAGGAAGGGAGGAGACUAUCUCGUAGCUGUUAGUCGGUGGGGUAACGGCCUACCGAGGCUAUGACGCGUAACUGGUCUGAGAGGAUGAUCAGUCGAAUUGUAACUGAGACACGAGCCUACAACCGACGGGAGGCAGCAGUAGGGAAUAAUGCGCGAUGGGGGCAACACUGACGAAGCACCGGCGCGUGGAGGAUGACACUUUUCGGAGCGUAAACUCCUUUUGUUAGGGAGGCGGUACCUAACGAAUAAGCACCGGCUAACUCCGUGCCAGCAGCCGCGGUAAUAC
rnacentral:rRNA from 1 species